rnacentral:lncRNA from 1 species
GAAAAUAAAUAAAAUAAAGCGUAGCCAGAAAAUAAAUAAAAUAAAGCGUAGACAAAAAGUAAAUAAAGUAAAGCGAGACGGAAAAUAAAUAAAGUAAAGCGUAGACAGAAAGUAAAUAAAGUAAAGCGAGGCGCAAAAUAAAUAAAGUAAAGCAUAGACAAAAAAUAAAUAAAAUAAAGUCUAGACAAGUAAAUAAAUAAAGCGAUAAAAUAAGAACCUACUCCAAGCAGAGGGCUUUAA